rnacentral:rRNA from 1 species
UUUUAAAACUAUGGAUAUGCCUAAUUUUAUUAGUUUAUUUCGUAAAUUUUAAUUUUUAAACUAGGAUUAGAUACCCUAUUAUUUUAAUAUGUAUUUUGUUAUGCCUAGGUAGUAUUAGUUAUGGUCUUGAAACUUAAAAAAUUUGGCGGUAUUUCAGUCUGUUCAGAGGAACCUGUUCUGUAAUCGAUAAUCCACGUUAAAUCUUGCUUGACCUUGUUUAUCAGUUUGUAUACCGCCGUUAUUGAGUAUUUUAUUAGAAUAAUAAUUUUCAAUUUCCUUUAUUUAAGGGUUAUAUCAGGUCAAGGUGCAGCUUAUGGUUAAGAUUGUAAUGGGUUACAAUAAAUUUAUUUAUAUGAAUAUUGAGUUUAAAUACUUGGUUGAAGGUGGAUUUGAUAGUAAAGCUAUCUAGAAUAAUAGUUUGAUUCUAGCUCUGGAAUAUGUAC